rnacentral:tRNA from 1 species
CACCAAGAAGCUAUUUUAGCACUAACCUUUUAAGUUAGAGAUUGAGAGCAAAACACUCUCCUUGAUGAC